UACGUAGGGCGCAAGCGUUGUCCGGAAUUAUUGGGCGUAAAGAGCUCGUAGGCGGCCUGUUGCGUCCGCUGUGAAAUCCCGGGGCUCAACCCCGGGCCUGCAGUGGAUACGGGCUGGCUAGAGGCAGGCAGGGGAGAACGGAAUUCCUGGUGUAGCGGUGAAAUGCGCAGAUAUCAGGAGGAACACCGGUGGCGAAGGCGGUUCUCUGGGCCUGUACUGACGCUGAGGAGCGGAAGCGUGGGGAGCGAACAGG
rnacentral:rRNA from 1 species